AAAUCCAACUUUUAAACGCUUUGUGAACAGGCCCAGAGGCAAAGUCCUGGGCGCAAACCCACGAGCCGAGCUGCGAGGCUGAGAGGAAGUGCUAGUCCAGCCCAACCCCGCACUGGAUUUGGUGUGGAAACCGUCAGAGGUAAAAGGGAUCGCUCAGAUGGGGGGCCCGCGGUGAGGGCAGGAGGCAAAACCCCACCGCCCGGCGCUCCCAGCCAGCGCGCAGCGGGAGGCGGCUGUGCCGCGGGCCCGUCCUUCGCGUCCGAGCUGCCGCGCACGCCCCGCGCGGAGCGCGGCACCGGGAGCCUCCGGUGGGGCUGGGUCCCGUCUCCCGCCCCAUCCGGCGCUUUGUCCCAGCCCCGGUGGCCGGCGGCCCCGCUGCGGGCCCCCGGGCCGCGGUGACAGCCCCCGUCCCCAUAGGGCUGCGAGCCCGGGAGUCCCUAUAGGCUGGCGACCGGUCGCCCGCCGGACCUCACCCAGGCGGGACGCGGCAGGAGGACGCUCGCCCUGCCGGAGGGGCCGCCGCCGCCGCCCGAAGCGCACGCAGGCCAAGCUCAGGCGCCAAAAGCCUUGGACUUCGAAACACACGACUUCCAACAUCCUAAGCUUACCCAAAAAUUCUCGACGAAAUACGCCAUGACCAUCGUGCCGCCGCCGCGCCGGGUUCCGCGUCCGCGCCCGCCCGCCGCUGUGUAAACACGGCCCGGCCCCCACAGCACCCCCGCCUUUCGCCGCCGCCGCCUUCUUCCCAGAGACCGGCCCGCACCUUCCAGGGCGCAUGCGCCACCUAGCGGCUGCCGCAGCUGGGCGAGCACUUAGACGCCACGGCCACGGUGUGCGCAUGCGCCCUGUCCCCAUUCUCGGGUGUUGGUAGAUCUCUCUGCAUCCCGGGCGCGGCUGGGUUGAGUGUUCUCUUAGGAAUGGUGGAGAACUGGGUCCUUGAGGAGUCACCGGGGAGACUGCUCGCACUGUUUGUGGUGCGACGGGCACUGGCCCAGGGACAGAGGGAAGAGAAGGGCCAGCCAGCGGCAGUGGAGUCGGCAGGCUGGCUGCCCACUCGCUUUCUCUCCUCACAAGACUCGCUUCCCCGGCCUUCGAGGAUCUCGAACGGACUAUAGUCUGGACUCGCUGGGCUGGAGGAAACUUGGCCGCUGGCCACCCGGAGGAGACUGAGAAGCCUUUGGUCAACAGGGCGCCUUUCCUUGAACCAAAACAAAACUUUCCGAAGCCGGAAAGGAAACGCCCAGUGUCGCCUGAGAGCCCUGGAGCUGCGCGAGACCCAGGCACUGAGUGCGGCCUCGGCCUCUGACCUCUAACACGCCGGGAACAAACCAGCUGGGGCGGCCCGCAGGCCUGCGGGAGCGGAAUGUGACCCGAAACCGACGGACUUCCUGACCCAUAGUCCAUAGUUCUCUUCAGCAACUUGAACAUUUUGGAAAAAGAAACAAGUCUUAACAUGCCACGACCUAAUGGAAAAACUAAAUCCCCUUCCUACACCUUGCUUUCCAAAAGUUAAAAAAAAAUAGUUAAACGCUAUUAGAGGUCUCAAGUUCACUGUCACCAGAUCAGCUAGGUCCAGAAUCUUCAGUUCUUGAAGCCAAGCCCUACAAAUAGAUUUAUUGUAGCAUAUCACACCUCUUCAGGUGACUUAAAACAAUGAGAAUUCAUGAGAAAUUAUCUUCAUCCUCAAGUAAAAAUCAUGAGGUGCCUUUCACAUGGAUGAAAUUGUAAGUGCUUGUUGAACAAGGAAUAAUUGGA
rnacentral:lncRNA from 1 species